CGGCGUCCGUGAUGUUCCGCAUUACCUACAUUGUUUGACCCUCGUGAGAACAACAGUGGCUGAGACGCCA